CGCAUCUGUGCAUGCAGCAUAUCAAUAAGCGGAGGAAAAGAAACUAACAAGGAUUCCCCUAGUAACGGCGAGUGAAGCGGGAAGAGCUCAAAUUUGAAAUCUUAAAGGGUUUCCCUUUACGAAUUGUAGUUUAAAGAAGUGUUUUCUGUUGAGGUUUUGGUAAAAGUUCUUUGGAAUAGGACAUCAUAGAGGGUGAGAAUCCCGUAUUUGACCUUUACUUUCAACUUUGUGAUACACUUUCAAAGAGUCGGAUCGUUUGGGAAUGCAGUCCAAAAUGGGUGGUAAAUUUCAUCUAAAGCUAAAUAUUGGCGAGAGACCGAUAGCGAACAAGUACCGUGAGGGAAAGAUGAAAAGAACUUUGAAAAGAGAGUUAAACAGUACGUGAAAUUGUCAAAAGGGAAGCGUUUGACACCAGUGUUGUUUUUCUGAAAAUCAAUUAAAGAACUGUUUAUGCUAAGCUUGUUUAGACUUUAUCAGCUAACUGUUUAGUUUUGAGCUUUUCUUUAAUGCACUUUUCAGUUAACAAGUCAACAUCAAUUUCUUUUGCUGUAAAAAAGCUUGAGGAAGGUGGCUUGAGAUUCGUCUUAAGUGUUUAUAGCCUCCUGCCCUAUGCAGUCGGAGAGAUUGAGGUCUGCAGCGUAGAUCCUUCGGGGCUAAAUGCAUUUGUGCUAAGUUAUAGCAUUUUAUAGACAACUUGUUGACUAUGAUUUGUCUUGUAGCUUACUCGCUUAUGUUAUUUUACCUACGCUUAGGAUGUUGAGUCAUCACACAUCUCU
rnacentral:rRNA from 1 species